rnacentral:rRNA from 1 species
UGGGGAAUAUUGGACAAUGGGCGCAAGCCUGAUCCAGCCAUGCCGCGUGAGUGAUGAAGGCCCUAGGGUUGUAAAGCUCUUUCACCGGUGAAGAUAAUGACGGUAACCGGAGAAGAAGCCCCGGCUAACUUCGUGCCAGCAGCCGCGGUAAUACGAAGGGGGCUAGCGUUGUUCGGAUUUACUGGGCGUAAAGCGCACGUAGGCGGACUUUUAAGUCAGGGGUGAAAUCCCGGGGCUCAACCCCGGAACUGCCUUUGAUACUGGAAGUCUUGGGUAUGGUAGAGGUGAGUGGAAUUCCGGGUGUAGAGGUGAAAUUCGUAGAUAUUCGGAGGAAACCCAGUGGCGAAGGCGGCUCACUGGACCAUUACUGACGCUGAGGUGCGAAAGCGUGGGGAGCAAACAGG